rnacentral:rRNA from 1 species
GUCUACGGCCAUACCAUCCUGAACGAGCCCGAUCUCGUCUGAUCUCGGAAGCUAAGCAGGGUCGGGCCUGGUUAGUACUUGGAUGGGAGAAAAGACCUCUGAAGAGGACGGAUUGGAGAGGGGC